GGUUGUUUGAACCGCAUGGUUCAAACAUAAAAGGUGGCUUCGGCUACCACUUACAGAUGGACCCGCGGCGCAUUAGCUAGUUGGUGAGGUAACGGCUCACCAAGGCAACGAUGCGUAGCCGACCUGAGAGGGUGAUCGGCCACACUGGGACUGAGACACGGCGGAGACUCCUACGGGAGGCAGCAGUAGGGAAUCUUCCGCAAUGGACGAAAGUCUGACGGAGCAACGCCGCGUGAGUGAUGAAGGUAUUCGGAUCGUAAAGCUCUGUUGUUAGGGAAGAACAAGUACCGUUCGAAUAGGGCGGUACCUUGACGGUACCUAACCAGAAAGCCACGGCUAACUACGUGCCAGCAGCCGCGGUAAUACGUAGGUGGCAAGCGUUGUCGGGAAUUAUUGGGCGUAAAGGGCUCGCAGGCGGUUUCUUAAGUCUGAUGUGAAAGCCCCCGGCUCAACCGGGGAGGGUCAUUGGAAACUGGGGAACUUGAGUGCAGAAGAGGAGAGUGGAAUUCCACGUGUAGCGGUGAAAUGCGUAGAGAUGUGGAGGAACACCAGUGGCGAAGGCGACUCUCUGGUCUGUAACUGACGCUGAGGAGCGAAAGCGUGGGGAGCGAACAGGAUUAGAUACCCUGGUAGUCCACGCCCGUAAACGAUGAGUGCUAUGUGUUAGGGGGUAUCCGCCCCUUAGUGCUGCAGCUAACGCAUUAAGCACUCCGCCUGGGGAGUACGGUCGCAAGACUGAAACUCAAAGGAAUUGACGGGGGCCCGCACAAGCGGUGGAGCAUGUGGUUUAAUUCGAAGCAACGCGAAGAACCUUACCAGGUCUUGACAUCCUCUGACAAUCCUAGAGAUAGGACGUCCCCUACGGGGGCAGUGUGACAGGUGGUGCAUGGUAGUCGUCAGCUCGUGUCGUGAGAUGUUGGGUUAAGUCCCGCAACGAGCGCAACCCUUGAUUUUAGUUGCCAGCAUUCAGUUGGGCACUCUAAGGUGACUGCCGGUGACAAACCGGAGGAAGGUGGGGAUGACGUCAAAUCAUCAUGCCCCUUAUGACCUGGGCUACACACGUGCUACAAUGGACAGAACAAAGGGCAGCGAAACCGCGAGGUUAAGCCAAUCCCACAAAUCUGUUUUCAGUUCGGAUCGCAGUUUGCAACUCGACUGCGUGAAGCUGGAAUCGCUAGUAAUCGCGGAUC
rnacentral:rRNA from 1 species